CUGUUCCAGAGAGAAAGUGGUUUAAAUUUUCUAAGCCUUUCCCAUGAUAACUUUUCCUGUUAAAUACCUGACACACAGAGAGAACCUGCACCCAUUUUAGUCUGGUAUCAGGGCCCUUUGCUUGCUACCGCUUUGAUGCAAUAAGCUGUGCUUGAGCAAAAUGUUAUCUAGUUAUGCUGAUCCUCCUAACAUUUCCAGCACAGCAGAAUAUUGCAAUGAAAUACAACUAAAAAAUGGCUGAUUUCACUAUGCUGUGCCUCUGCCUGGGGUUGACUACCACAUUGUAACCUCCCUGGCCCUGAACCAUUGCCAGGAGGUAACAAAUGGACCAAAUAAAAGCUGCUGCAAAGGUGGGCUCAUGGUCUAGAAGUCUGGUCUGGGUUUCUCUAGAUACAGCACAGUUUGAUGUUUCUGUAAUUAUAUUUCAGUCACAUGUAUAAAAUCAAUCCUGCAGACUUGAAACGACUUGCUGCUUUUGGUUCCUGACGUAGGGGCACAUUUUAAUUCUCCGGGAAGGUUAAUAGCUUCAUGCAUUCAUUGUUUGAGUAAUUCCUUAAAUCCUCAAUGCUUACAUGAGACACUUUAGUGGCUUAUAUUUUCUUCUAUUGAAAUACGUUGCAGGAAAUACUUAGAGCUACUUCAUUAAGUUCCAUUGUAAAAUGCUGUGUGCCUCAGAAAUACUCAUCUGUAAUUGUUGCUCUUAAAGGGAGACCUCAACUCUCUGCUUGAAAACCUGCAGGAAGUCUCUCUGAACUUCAUGGGAGACACCAAGAGCUGCUCCUGUGCUGCUGCUGCUGAAGCCAGUGAAAAAGUUCCCUUCCUCAGGGGUCACUGCAAUACCAGGAUUACAAUGAAUGCCUUUAAUAUCUCCCACUGAUACAUUGUUGAAGCCCUUCAGAGUUCAUUGGCAUAGCACAGCUCCCAGAUGAACUGGGAUGAGCUUGCUGAGUCAGCUGGCAGCAGGAGGAGAGGACUCGUGUCCGGAGCAGCACGGAGUCACUUUGGCUUAAGGUGUUUCCCUGCUGGAAGGAAGGAUACACGGAAUUCAGAGGCAGGAGCUGCCUGUGUAGAGGGGAUUAUUCUCCCAAAGAGAUCUGGCUGUUCCUGCAGGCUGCAGGAGGAAGGAGGCAUUGCCCUUCUCCAGCCACCUAACAGCAUCUGGAAAGUGAAGGUAAUGGACUCGAGGUUUUCCACAGGCUUGUGCAGAAUGUGACAAACACGUGAGCCUGCAUCCCUGGGGCCUGUGUGAGGACAUGGGAAUAGUGUCCCUUGUGUCCCAGCUGAGCUGCCAGAGCUCUACUGCCAAGCAGCCCUGCGCAGCAAUGGGCAGGGCUGGUGAUGGAACUGAUCCAGGGAUGUGUUUCAUGUGUUGUGACAUUUGGGAAUGUGGUUUUUGUGUGUCAUUUCUGGAGGUGUGGAUUUCACUCAGUGAAAAUGUGCCUCCCAGCUUCAGCAGCUCUACUGCACAGUUGCACUUCUCAGCCUGCCUGCAUGCAAACACAGAGCUUGCACUUUGCAGAGAUUCAGAAGGGGGAUAGGAAAUACUGUCUACUAUACAAGAGAAUUAAAGAGGAAAAAAAGAGGAAAAUAAUCUAAUGUGGCUCAGGGGUUCCUUAUGUUUUGCAGAAGGCUUCUUCCAUAGGCUCUCCUUGUGAUUCUUCUGCUUCAUUCUGGCCUCCUGUGUUUGUCAGACACCUUUUAAACUUUGGCCUGAGAGCAUCCUCAGUGCAGAAUGGACAAUGCCAUGCUCAGAAGGAUGGCAACUGGAGGCAGCCUCAGUAGAAAGCCCUCGUUCCAUCACUUCCCAGUUUGUGCUGGAUGGGAUUUUUAUUGUAUUUCUCUUUUUGCUCAUGCUGUAUUUCAGAGACGUGGCCAGCUUCGCCUCUUGGGUUUUCAGCCACGGGGGCUGUAGCUUUCGUUGGUUUCUUUCAUUUCCCUGGUGAAAAAUCUGAUGUCACCAAUGCACUCGGAGCGUACACAAACCUUGAGAGAAAAGAGCAGAUCUGUUUGUUGAAGAACAUCCCCAUGUUCCUUCUGGUGGCAGGGAAGGUGUAAAGGCAGAAAAUGAUUCAAACCCCUGUGUCCUUCCUGACUGCAAAGUGAAUUUUUAGGAAUAUGGAGCACAACAAGCCAACAGACUCACUAGAUGGCUUUUUUUCUUUUUCUGGUUUAUUUAAUCAUUUCCAUUUAACCCUGUUCCCAUGGCACGAGUCUCCCAGCUUCUCCAAAGCGAGCAUAUGGGCAGUAUGUGGAUAUCACAGCUAUGUCUUAAUAUCCAGCUGCUCUUUGUGCCAUGGGGAAUGGCUGCAGGGCUGGCUGGAGUGCCCUGGGUGAACCUGCUGCUCACGCAGAACUAUUUCUGAGUAACAGCAGUCAGUGGCCAUUUAAUCUGGGCAUUGCUGAUCCUUGGCACAGAUUGUUGAGAAGGUGGGAUAGCAGAGAGAAAGCAGAUGGAAUGAAUGGAAGUAAGGAAACUGUUCCGAGGGGAGGAAAGCAAGCUCACUCCUUCUCCUCUGCCUCUACAGAUGGAGGAUUGGGGUCACAAAAGCUCCAUGUGGGUUUAGGAUCCUUGAGAACAGCAGGAGCAGAGUAAUUGGGUGACUGAACAGAGUGUGGAUGCAGCUCUUCCAUCCCUGCCCUCGGUGAAGGAAAUUCUUUGCUCUCUGCAUUCCAACCUGACAGAGCCUUUUUCUUUCAGCCCGGAUGGUUUCACCUCUGUGCCAGGCAGCAGUCCCAGGGGUGAGGCACAGCUAGCUGGAGCAAAUCCCUGCAAACCCUCCUGGAAGCUCUGCAUUAUGCUUGCACCAGCUCUAAAAAUGGACCAUUAGGAAGACACCUCUUGUAGAAAGUGCUCUUGUAGCAGUACAACAAAAUGAUUUCUUCGGGUUCCAGUGCACAAUGGGUGGCUACAAAGCAUGUGCACGGAUUUCUGGAGACACGAUCCAAGGGGGGUGGUAAUAAUGACCCUUUCUGUCACCAGAGAGUCUGCACAAAGAUUCCAGCAGCAUUUUGCACAGUGUGAUAAAAAAUGUGUGAAACCCUCAGCAUCAGUGGAGGUUCAAAGUGAAACAGAAUCAAGCAGAGUAAGGUACCCAUAAGGAAAAGAAAUAGCUGAAUGAUAUUAAGGAAGCCAAGAUAACUGGAAAAAUUAACAGCACCACAGCUUAUAGAGUCUGCUUCUGCUGACAAAGGCAAUCUUCAGCACCCAGUGUCUGCAUUCAGUCUGAAAAGCCUGGAAUGAGCAAAAUAGGAGAAGUUUGGGUUUACAAUGGGAAUUUGAGGCUUGAAGUCAAGGAACUUGAACUCUGACCUCUCCAUAAAGAGAGGCUUCCAGUCUGUGCCAGCAUCCCAGUGCUGAAGGACGCCUGGCUGCCUGUGGCCCGGUGAGCCAGCAGGAUGGGACUGUCUGCAGGAAGGCAGGAAGGGAUUUCCUGGGAAGACUCCCCUUUAGGGAGCCUGGGAUCCUGCAGCAGCUGGCCCUGGCGAGGCUGGGUUUCUGAGACACUUCCCAUCCCUAAGGGACAAAAAGCACAGGCCCAAAGCCACUCGGUCCAAAAUGGAGUGGGGCAUGAAGUCUGCCUUCAGCCUGAGAUAUCCAUGGAUCUCUAAAAUCACACCCCAGAGGUUUUGUGUUCAACUGCUGCAUCUCCAUAAGAACUGUAUGCUGGAGACUUCUUCCCGUGGAAGUCUCCUGCUUGUAUCUGAGGCUGAAACCAGCUGAGACAAAAGUAUUUAUUUUGGAGGGGAGCUUCUUGUGUUUUUACCAUUUACAGCUCCACGUUUGUCUUCAAAAGCAAAGGUCAGAGGGUUGUGUUCAUUAGAAAUAUUUUCUAAAUGUGUGUCUCUGAGCUCUUCAAAGUCCAGAGUAAUAAAAAACAGAAUUGCAGAAAAGGAGGUUUAGGGAAGAUGAG